CUUUUAAGUGUGUCUUUAAACAUUUUGGAAGGAAAAUGACUAAAUAAUCUCAAUUUCCGUAAUAGUAAAUAAUCUUCGACAUAUUCUGUUUCCUACCGAAUGAAAAACUUUUAACACAUUCCUGCAAGGCACAGCAAACAUUUAAUGGUUGUGCUAAGCAGCAUUUCCCCCUUCAAUUAAUCAAGAUCCAGAAGCCAACUGCUGGCCAAGAUGAAAAGAGGGGCUCAUAAAAAAAGAAAAAGGCAGCAUUUGAAGUUGAAACCUAUUGCACAAACAAGCACACACUUUUUCAUCAAAGACCCUGCUCCAAAGAGCUGUCUUCUGGCUUCAGUCUGCCGUGCCAACUGUUAAAGGUGUUGUGUCGUCUUAACAGAAAGACACUAAAGCUUCAAGAGCUGUGCAAAAGCAGCACACUCACAGCAUACUGAACUUUUUGAUGUGGAAAAGAAAUAGUCUGAUACAAAAAAGGCAAAAAAGUGGUUAGUAAUUAUGUUACAUUGUUUUUAUUUAUAGAUCUAAUCUCGUUUUUUUCAUGGCAAACAAUGGACGAGAUGAUAACUAAAGUUAAAAGAUUUUUUUUUUACCAAAACUAAUGAGUCUGAGAAGCCAUCACAAGUAAACAGUUGUUUAUGACUACAUAAAACUCCAAAAGGACAUUGUUUUCAAAAUGAACAAUUAUGCGUAUAUUUAAGUUCAUUCAUUCAUCUUCUUAUUCAUUCAAAAAAAAAAUGAAUGAAUAUUUAAGUUGAUUUUUUAAAAUCAGAUCUGAAAAGGCAGGCCAGAAAUGCGGCACAUGCAGAGAGAGCUGGGCCAGAGGCUAACAACUGAAACACAAAGAUACCGAAAACGCACUUCAAACAAAGUAAAACAUUUUUAUAUAAACUCAGGAGUUCCCAGGAUGAUCCCGUGUUUCAAUAGAGAAGCACAGUGGGAUGACAAGAUGGUUUGCUGGCUUGGAAUUGACAACAAAGGAAGUUGGCCGUAGUUCCAACCCUGUAACUUCAUGACAUUGUCUACUAAGCUACUGUAAUAACACACAUCCUCUCUUCUGUAAUCAGUAAGAGUUCACAAAGACCUUCCUCUGACAAUAUACACACACACACACACACACAGAUUGGACGCCUUAAUAAAUGAACAAACUGAUGUGGCCACACCCUUCACUUCAAGAGCUUUUGAGGAGGUGGACAGAAGGUGAGGUUGGAGAGGAGAAGGGACUCGGGGGGGCUGCUUUGAAUGGCAGGAAAUCCCUGAGAUGUUUUCUGUACUCUGCCACAACACAAGAUCCUGCUAAGGUGUUGAGGGAAGACAAUGUUUAGGACACAGUUGCUGUACAGAAUGCAAAUAUUUGUCUUUCUGUUUUUCUUUCUUUAAAUGAUUUCUGUUUCUGUCUUUCUUUGUUGCUGCCUGACGCUUUUAUAUAUCACAUCGGUGUUACAAUUGUGCGCGCACACACACAAACACACAUAAGCAUGUCUUGCACAAAAGACUUUCAGCAGCCAUAUGUCGUGGAGGAGGAGGCCGACAUGCCCUUUCACAUAAAACAGCACACAUACACACAUAGUGGUAGCGGGCAGGGGAGUGUCCCUGUGCAGGAAUGUGGAGGAAUGAUAAGUUGUGGAGGUGUCAGGGGAGAGACCCAUGCUGUUACAGCCAGACACCUACAAACACUCCACCCUGCCUCCAACUCCCCCUGUGGUUUUUAUUUUCUUACUUUCUUAUUUACUUUCUUUCUUGUACCAUAAACUCAGGCGUAAGCCUUCUGAUUCUUUUUUUUUUUUUUUUUUUACUUUGGGACAACAAUCUAAUCAUUUAAUUUUAUGAAUCGUGCCUUAUUUUCACUUGUUUUUUUGUUUUGUUUUUUUUAACAUCUUCUAACUCCAUCCCAUCUGAAGACUUUCAGUUCAUAGUACCAUUAGAGAUAAAAACACCAGCUUUUUAAAGAGCCAUUUAUAAACAUAAAAGUACAGGGUUUCCCCUAAUAAAAAGGAAAAAAGUCUGCUGUAAUUUCAAGAUUCCCAUUUAUAAUGAAACACCUGUAACAACAUACCCAUAGGAGACUUGCAAGAAGCUGUCCUGUAUCUGUAGAAAUUGAAUGUCCUCAGGUAACCACAGCUAUGUGGGGGAAAAAAGUUAAACACUCCUGUCUUCAGCUUCACCGGGAACAGUAAUUAAUGACCCCCAUUCAGACCAUUAUCCCUUUAUCAGCUACACAGAGGGCUGCUGCGUACACAGUUUGAAACUUAAAAGUUUCAGGGAAUGGUUUAUCACGACACUGGAUUACAUGAGGUGAUUUAAGACUUAAAAUUAAUGUGAAGGAUUUUACUGAAAAUGUCUUGUCACUGUGCCAAUAACUUUGUUUGACUGCAUGAAUACUUCAUUCUUAAAGCAGAAUGUGGCUUUGUCAAGGGUUUUGCAAUGUCUAUUAUAUAAAAGAAGAAGAAAGAAAUCUUCCCAGGGUAUGAAGAUGAAGUCUAUUUGGUUUGUGGCGUGUUACCAAGUUGGCAUGGUGUCACCUGGUGUUCAUGGUCUUUGUCAGCCAGUGUCCUCAAGAGAAAAUAUGUCUCUGAUCUUGCGUUUUCUGCACAGGAGGAGAUUAAUUGUGAGCAUUAGAACUUCAGUCACUGAGACGUGACGUGCUGAGACCUGCAUCCCUGGAGGACCAAGCUCCUUCUUGGCUCAUUGGCCUGUUGUCACACCCCACCCUGCUCCAGAUUGGGAAGAGUGUCUGAACAGGGUCUCCAUCCAGUUGGGAUAUGACCAAAACCCCUCCCCAGGAAGGCAUCCAGGAGGCAUCUAAACCAGAUACCUCAACCACUUCAGGAGGAGCAGCAGUCCAAACUAUCUUCAGCUGCUGUGUCCUGAAACAGCUGAUGAGAGCCCUGACCAGUCCCUGUGCCCCAUCUUUCAUCCUUCCUGCGAGGGAAAGGUUGUUCAUCACCAGCGCAGAUACCAGCUGAUUAUCCAUUGAGUGUGAGAUGCAAUGGCCCAAGUGUUCUGCCCAAAGGUUUGUGUCACAGAAAACCGCAUAUACAGUGUGUUUUUCAUGUUCCAGCAGCACCCCAUUCUUUGCACUCAUUCUCUAGUGUCCUAGAUUUGAUGUGCGCUUUCCUUGUCACACUCAAAAUUCUCUAACUAAGCACUUUGAAAAUGGGAGUGAGGUCAUCUAGACC